rnacentral:rRNA from 1 species
GACGAACGCUGGCGGCGUGCUUAACACAUGCAAGUCGAACGAUGAAGCCUAGCUUGCUAGGUGGAUUAGUGGCGAACGGGUGAGUAAUACGUGAGUAACCUACCUUUAACUCUGGGAUAAGCCCGGGAAACUGGGUCUAAUACCGGAUACGACCAAUCUCCGCAUGGGGUGUUGGUGGAAAGCGUUAUGUAGUGGUUAUAGAUGGGCUCACGGCCUAUCAGCUUGUUGGUGAGGUAACGGCUCACCAAGGCGACGACGGGUAGCCGGCCUGAGAGGGUGACCGGCCACACUGGGACUGAGACACGGCCCAGACUCCUACGGGAGGCAGCAGUGGGGAAUAUUGCACAAUGGGCGCAAGCCUGAUGCAGCGACGCCGCGUGAGGGAUGACGGCCUUCGGGUUGUNAACCUCUGUUAGCAGGGAAGAAGAGAGAUUGACGGUACCUGCAGAGAAAGCGCCGGCUAACUACGUGCCAGCAGCCGCGGUAAUACGUAGGGCGCGAGCGUUGUCCGGGAAUAUUGGGCGUAAGAGCUUGUAGGCGGUUUGUCGCGUCUGCUGUGAAAGGCCGGGGCUUAACCCCGUGUAUUGCAGUGGGUACGGGCAGACUAGAGUGCAGUAGGGGAGACUGGAAUUCCUGGUGUAGCGGUGGAAUGCGCAGAUAUCAGGAGGAACACCGAUGGCGAAGGCAGGUCUCUGGGCUGUAACUGACGCUGAGAAGCGAAAGCAUGGGGAGCGAACAGGAUUAGAUACCCUGGUAGUCCAUGCCGUAAACGUUGGGCACUAGGUGUGGGGGACAUUCCACGUUUUCCGCGCCGUAGCUAACGCAUUAAGUGCCCCGCCUGGGGAGUACGGCCGCAAGGCUAAAACUCAAAGAAAUUGACGGGGGCCCGCACAAGCGGCGGAGCAUGCGGAUUAAUUCGAUGCAACGCGAAGAACCUUACCAAGGCUUGACAUAUACUGGACCGCAUCAGAGAUGGUGUUUCCCUUCGGGGCUGGUAUACAGGUGGUGCAUGGUUGUCGUCAGCUCGUGUCGUGAGAUGUUGGGUUAAGUCCCGCAACGAGCGCAACCCUCGUUCUAUGUUGCCAGCACGUUAUGGUGGGGACUCAUAGGAGACUGCCGGGGUCAACUCGGAGGAAGGUGGGGAUGACGUCAAAUCAUCAUGCCCCUUAUGUCUUGGGCUUCACGCAUGCUACAAUGGCCGGUACAGAGGGUUGCGAUACUGUGAGGUGGAGCUAAUCCCUAAAAGCCGGUCUCAGUUCGGAUUGGGGUCUGCAACUCGACCCCAUGAAGUCGGAGUCGCUAGUAAUCGCAGAUCAGCAACGCUGCGGUGAAUACGUUCCCGGGCCU